rnacentral:rRNA from 1 species
GAUGAACGCUAGCGGCGUGCCUAAUACAUGCAAGUAGAACGCUGAAGGAGGAGCUUGCUCUUCUGGAUGAGUUGCGAACGGGUGAGUAACGCGUAGGUAACCUGCCUGGUAGCGGGGGAUAACUAUUGGAAACGAUAGCUAAUACCGCAUGACAACAGUUAUUGCAUGAUAACUGUUUAAAAGGGGCAACUGCUCCACUACCAGAUGGACCUGCGUUGUAUUAGCUAGUUGGGGAGGUAACGGCUCACCAAGGCGACGAUACAUAGCCGACCUGAGAGGGUGAUCGGCCACACUGGGACUGAGACACGGCCCAGACUCCUACGGGAGGCAGCAGUAGGGAAUCUUCGGCAAUGGACGGAAGUCUGACCGAGCAACGCCGCGUGAGUGAAGAAGGUUUUCGGAUCGUAAAGCUCUGUUGUAAGAGAAGAACGAGUGUGAGAGUGGAAAGUUCACACUGUGACGGUAUCUUACCAGAAAGGGACGGCUAACUACGUG